rnacentral:rRNA from 1 species
UACGGGGGGGGCAAGCGUUGUUCGGAUUUACUGGGCGUAAAGGGCGCGUAGGCGGUCAGCACAAGUCAGUUGUGAAAUCUCCGGGCUUAACUCGGAAAGGUCAACUGAUACUGUGCGACUAGAGUGCAGAAGGGGCAACUGGAAUUCUCGGUGUAGCGGUGAAAUGCGUAGAUAUCGAGAGGAACACCUGCGGCGAAGGCGGGUUGCUGGGCUGAUACUGACGCUGAGGCGCGAAAGCCAGGGGAGCGAACGGG